CCAUAACUCAAUGGCCACAGGCCUGGACAGGGAGAGGGCCAAAGGGGUCUGAAGCUGCUGGGUGAAUGAGAACAUCCUUUGACUUUGAUGCAAAAGUCACCGGCACUUCCCAGCCUCCUGUGGCACCACCAGGCCUCCAGGGACACCACCGCCCUCUAAAGUGCUGUCGCAAUGAGAGAAACUCUCUAGGUCUGUUCCAGAGAACACGGCUGAGGCCACUGGAGCUUGCCCCCUCUGUGAUUUGCUAGUGAGAUAUCUGACUGGAAAAGUGGUCCCUGUCUGUGUGAUUCUGGUGCAUGCUUCAAAAGGCUGGGACCUCAAAAGCAGUGAUGACUCGAUAGCCCAGGGAAGGAAGAACUCACUGUACAAAACAAGACUGAGCAUGGAAAACAAGAGGACUGCACAGUCAACCACCAAAGUGAUUUGAAAUCAGGUGCGUUUUGUUUCUUUGACUAUAUAAAUGAAAACAUUUUCACCAAGAUAAAAACUGAAACUAAAGAUGAAUGUUGCAGGACAAUGGAAAGAGACUCUUCCUGUCAGUCCUCAGGCCCCUGCUAUGUGUAUGUGCUCAAUGAAUGUCUUUAGGACAGGGGCGGGAAAAACAGAGGGUAGAAGAUAGAACAUUUGAAAAAUAAUAAAGAAGUACACAGAAUAAACCAAAAGAACUUCCUGUAAUCUAUCCAGGUGGAAAGUCAAUAUUUUAAUUUACUACAAUGUGUGUGUGUGUGUGUGUGCGUGUGUACAAAAGGGGAUAAUGGGGUUAAAAUAAAAUCAACUCUUUUAUAUAUACAAGAGCUGACCCUGGGAUGUGGACAGGGUACCACUGUCCAGCCCAGUUCUUAUAUAUACACACACUAGGGGAUCAUUC
rnacentral:lncRNA from 1 species